rnacentral:siRNA from 1 species
CUUUCUACUACGUCGGGCUUC